GAGGUCGGCGCUGCGCGGCGCGGAGCAGGCCCCUCGCCCGGGCCAUGUCUGAGGAGGGAGGCGGCAAACUGCGCCUCAAGCCCAGGAAGGCGCCACCGGGCCGCAGCCGGGAGCCCAGCCCGGGUCGGGAGCCCCCCGCGCGGCGCCAAACAUUGGCCAACAGAUACUCCUGGUUUGAACAACAAGGAUUAAGUGAGUCUGAAAAUAUGUGGAUGCUGAUACUGAAGGCUGUCAAUCCAGAUCUAAAACCCAGAAGCUGGGAAACAGUGCCCAGUUUACCAGAAUUUUUUGGACAGAAUUCUGAAAACGAGAAGAACCCACCAAAACCAGAAGUCUUUAAGGUUGGAAUGAAAGAUUUUCAAUGGAUACCUCUCCCAUCUUUCUACAAAGAAAAAGCUCUUAAUAGAAAGAAUCCAAGCUGCUGUCACAUAUCAAAAAGUCAAACUGAGCAUCUAAUGGAAAGAGAGGACCAGGCAGACCAAAACCAGCUAAAUAUUGCUCCUGUAGUUGAGAAAAUAUCCCUUGCAAUUAAUGAUGAUCCAGGUGAGAUCAUAAGAAUGAAACACAGCAGGAAAAGUUCUUCAAAACUGAAAGAAAAAGGAAGGACUGAAAGGUAUGAACGUAAUCAGUGUACGGAUUCCACACUGCAUAUUGUACCAGCAUCUACCCAAAGUCUUGCAAAAGAUUUUUGCCUUCAACAGCUCUGUAAAAGGACUGUGCUGAGUGAAGAGAAAAGCAGAAAAGAAAAUGAAAGCAGAGGACAACAGUCAGAUGCACUAAUGCCCCAACAUAAUGUUUUAUUAGGUGAGACCAGAUCUACAUCUGUAGAAAUAAAAUCUCCUGUUGACAUCCCCAGAAUGGAAGGUCUUGAGGAAAAGGUUGAGGAUCAGAGAGCAGGAACUUUAACUCUUGACAGUUGUCCGAUGUGUCUAAUCCAGUUUACUGGAACAUUCCUCUGAUACCUAUCUGUGUUCCCUCUGAGGUUUGUACACACUUGUGGCAGAGAGAAACUUGCACUGGUGUUUUCCAUCAUGUCCUUGUUCUGCUGAUUGUCUCAGGAGUUGAGUGCCCAGCACCUCUAAGGCCUAUUUGGCACUUAAAACUUAGGUGAAAGAAUGAGCAUACCCAGAAACCUCUCUCAAAGGUUUCAGAAUAUUCCUCACAUUACUCAUUUUGUUAUUGAUCUAGUUCAGGGGUUCUCAGACUUCAUGGUACAUGACUCCUUCUGACAACAAAAAUUACCACACAACCCCAGGAGUGGGGACCGAAGCCUGAUCCGGCCCAAGCCUCACCGCUCCAGGCAGGGGGGCCAAAGCCUGAGCCCCACCAACCUGGGCAGAGGGGCCAAAGCUGAAGCCCAAGGGCUUCAGCCCCAGGCCAAGGGCUGUAACCUGAGCCCUGCUGCCCAGGGUUAAAGCCUGAAGGCUUCGAAGCCCUGGGCAGUGGGGCACAGGCAUCUGCUUUGGGCCUGGGCCCGGGCCCCAGCAAGUCUAAGACAGUCCUGGUGACCUCAUUAAAACAGGGUUGUGACCCACAGUUUGAGAACUGCUGGUCUAGUUAACUGGAAAUUCUGUAAGUAAGUCUCUAUGCAGUUCCCAUAUUAAAUGUACUUCUAAAUUUAAGUUAUUAUUUUGGAAACAGGUUCAGAGUGAAAUUUGUUUUUAUUCAAAAUAUAAUAUUACAACCAUGUUUUAAUUUCAUCUCCAACUCUGUUUUCCAUUCUGUAGAACAUAAGAAUGACCUGACUCUUGCAAAUUAAAUAGUAUUUUUGCAGAUUUCUAGAAAAUGAAAAAUCAAGUUUGGGGGAAGUGUGAGUAAAUGAAAGGAGCAGAUUUGAUCAGUAGUUCUGAUAAAAUGAAAGACUUCUCUCA